AAAAAAUAUAUUUAUAUAUAUUUCUUGCCUAUGUAGGUGCAGAGUAUCACUCUGCCUUUGCUGAGGAAAGGUUUCAUCUUUCAAAUUAGCUGCCCCUAAGCCAUCAUCCAGCUCACAAACAAGUCUUGAAUCUCCUUAUGAGCAGCAGUAAUUAGAUGGACCAGAAAAUGAGAAGGGGAGCGGAGCAAUAAAACAGGCAAAGUAAUUUCGCAUUAUUUCCAGACUGGUAUCUCAGGGAAAACUUCUUAAUGGGCCGCUUGUUCUGUAAGUUGGGUUGGCAUUCAAGUGUGUGUUUCUGGGGUAGUGCUUUGGUCCCAGGGCUAGAGAGAGAACUGUCCAUCUCUACUGGUUUAUGGUAGUGUUAGUGUCGGUCAACAGAAUAAGAUCUCUGGUCUGAGUGGAGACUUGUUCGAUCCCUUUGGUAAGGGAUCACCAUAGAAAGCUUGGCUCACCAGCUAAAACCUUAAUGAAAAGAUAGAAUGGUUUUUAAAAUGAGACACUGUAUUUUUCUUUUCCAUGAUCCCCACCACCAUUGUUCAGAAGCUUACUAACCAGUCAUGUAAAAGGUCCUAAGUCUACCCUAUGAACAAUCAGAAAAGCAUACAUAUUUUUCACAUUUUCUAUCUCUUUUCUAAGUGUUCUUUCCUUAGUACUGGGGUCUUUAUCCCCAGCAUUUUGGGCCUCCCUACUCUUUCCUUAAACCCUGUAACCCUACAUGUGGCUGCUUGCUGGCCAUGAGCCUAACCUCCAUGGCAGCUUAAACAGCACGGCUUGGCCCUUCUCCUUUCUUGUCCUCUCGGAGCUGCUAGGGCUCUACAGCUUGCCAGUCCUGGGGUUCUUCUUCUGAACUCUAAUAAAUCGUCCUUGUGGUUCUUCGUGAGUCUGUUUUUAAGUCCUGUUGUCAGUGUGACUCGGAAUCCCAGAAGGGACCUUGAUCUCCCCUGUGUCACUGUGGGAGGAAUAUUAUAAGAGGUGGACUUGAUAAUACUGAAUCCCAUGUUCAGGAUUUGGAAGUAAUAUGUAAAGGACUCUGAAAAGAAGCAAGACUUGGCUACUAGGCUGUAAGCUUCUGACUCAGAAACUUUUUCUGUGCAUUUGUAAGCUUGGCACUAGCAGUAAUCGCCAGGUUGUAGAGAGGGUCCACAUGACCCUGUAGCUUUGGGCAGGUUGAGUGUGGUACACUGGGUGGUUCCAUUUAAGUGGGGCUGACAGUGCUGUUUGGAGGGGUAUAUGGGAAGAUUUGGAGGGAGGGAAGAGAGAAGUGUUGUAGUUACAAUCUCAAAAAUAAAGGGCCUUUUGCACACACCAAGUAAGUGUGCUAUCACCAAGCCAUUACCCUAGUCUAAUAACGUUUUCUGUAUUCAUUUACCUAUAUAAAGUUUGAGUGAGUUUUUUUCCCCUUGGCUACUGUGAAUAGUUGUGCACUGACCAUGAUUGUGCAGAUGCCUCUGAUUUACCAACCUCAGUUCCCAAGCUUCAUAUAACUGGAUUAUAGGAUAAUUCUAUGCUUACUUUUAAGAAGUGUCCAUACCAUUUUCCAUGGGCUAGGAUUAAAGCUAGCUUCAUUGUCCUUGCAAUUUCUGUUUCCUCAAAGAUUAGACUUGUCGUACAUUAUCUUUUAAUUCAUUGGUUGACCAUAAACAUCAUUUCUUUAUGGAAAAUGUCACUUAAUUGCAUGGGUCAUUCUUUAGCUGUGGUGAAGCAUUUUGGUUAGAUGGAUGUUAGUCUCCUGUUUUGUGGUGCUGGGAAUUGAACCCAGGGCUUUCCACUUGUGGAGUGAGCCCUUGGCCUGUAAGCUCCGCCUCACUGCUGCAGUUUGCUCUUUUGCCUAUGCUUUGGGAAUGCUCUUCAGGAAACCAUAAGCCAGACCAAUGCCUGCUACUUCUUUUAGUAGCUCUUCAGCAUUCGGUAUCACAUUUAAUAAAUUGCAAAUUAAUUAUGAUUCAGUUACUGUAUUGGAAUAAAGGUCUAAUUUUAUUCUUUUGUGUUUUCCCACCAGUGAUUCCUGAAGACACUAUCCUCAACCCUUUGUGCAUUUUCAACUCUCUGAUAUGGAGACUUUGAUGAUUUUAAUCUGGAGCAUGCGCUGAAAGAAACUUCCUCAGUAAAGCGUGACUCAAACAAACAAGUCCACCAAGCAAGCACAAGUGGUCGGCCGUGCACCACACUGACAAUCUUGCCUUCAGAAAAGUACAGGCAUAUGACACUAGCUGUUCCUCCAUCCACCUGUUUGUUCUGUUGUGCAGGCUUGUGUCAUCUCAUCAUACGUGUGUCAUCUUCCUUUUUCAUUUAGUUUAUGUCGAGCCCACGAGAGAACGUGUAUCUGCCUUACCCUUUUUUCUGCUGUACAAAAAGAGAGCUCCGACCAGUUUCAUUCCUCUCGCUGUUUUGUUUUGAGACAGGGUCUCUUGAUUUAGCCAGGGUUGUCCUGAAAUUCUCUGUGCUGACAAGACCGCCUUUGACUUGGGUCCAGUGCUAGAGCAACAGUGACUCUUGGGCACUGAUGUGCAUUUCUAGCUUCAGAACCCAUGACUUUUUAUGAUGCUUCAGUGUGAUCCCCUCAAUGGCCUCGGGGACCGAUACCGAGACCCUUCUCAGGAUGUGACUUCUGUAAACCAUUAAGCAGCCGCUGUGUUUUACAAUCUGCUUCCUUUUUCCUCCUUUCUCUCUUCAGAGAGCCACUUUAGCACCACGACUAGAAGGACAGGAACAACCAGAGCCCCAUCAAAUCCAGCAGAACUUGAUGGGUUUGACUUGGAAGAUGCCUUGGAUGAUCGGACCGAUCUAGAUGGCCCCAAAAAGAAAAGUACAGGAGAGGGAGGAGGUUGGUCAGACAAGGUUCUCGAAGAUAUCUUGGGAGGCGCGGGAUACAAACCUGACAAGAAUAAAGGUAGGAAUGUUGCUUUGUCUGGCAACACAUGGAUUCUCCUUAAAAUGCUAACCAUCCGGCUGCCAGGUAAACAUGUCACUCUCAGCCUCUGGCAAAUCAGGCUUCGACAUGUGCACUUGCCGUGUGCAGUGGGCUCUCAUUCCUGCGGGUGGGGACUCAUUUGUGAGCCAUCCUGAGAUGCUACCCAUUUGCUCUGUUGCUCUUUAAGCCUGAGCUGGUGUCCCCACUACCUAGAUGCACCUCGUAAGCCAGUUUUCCAUGCAGUGUGAGGGUUCAAACUUAGCAUGGCACACAUUUUAAAGAAGCCCUUAGCAAAUCAGAUGUUUACAAAAUUCCUUUGGAUUCCAUUUCCCCUUCCCAGGAAGAUUCACAUUUCCCUCCUAUUGGCUCCCAGGAAGUGGAAACUCUCCUUGGGGUGUAUCGUGUGAGCGAAGAAACUAUUUUCAAUUAAAAAGACA
rnacentral:sRNA from 1 species